rnacentral:snRNA from 1 species
AUCACUUCUCGGCCUUUUGGCUAAGAUCAAGUGUAAAUUCAGUUAAUCAACUAUUUUUCUUUUUGGAGGGGGCUUGGUCAGUUGAAAUGUAGUUACUGAAAAGGUAGAAUUGAUGUAUGCCAUUACACUGUUUCCCUUUUGUUUCAUGUAU